UUUCCGGAUUGGGCAUCCCGGCGUCUGCACGUGGUUAUGUUGCCGGAGUUUGGGCCGCCGCUGUAAGAAAAGUAACUUCAGCUGCAGCCCCAAAGCGAGUGAGCCGAGCCGGAGCCAUGGAGGGCCAGAGCGUGGAGGAGCUGCUGGCAAAGGCAGAGCAGGACGAGGCAGAGAAGUUGCAACGCAUCACGGUGCACAAGGAGCUGGAGCUGGAGUUUGACCUGGGCAACCUCCUGGCUUCGGACCGGAACCCCCCGACUGGACUGCGGUGCGCCGGACCCACGCCGGAGGCCGAGCUGCGGGCCCUGGCGCGGGACAAUACGCAAUUGCUCAUCAACCAGCUGUGGCAGCUGCCCACGGAGCGCGUGGAAGAGACGAUAGUGGCGCGGCUGCCGGAGCCCACCACACGCCUGCCGCGAGAGAAGCCUCUGCCCCGGCCGCGGCCACUUACACGCUGGCAGCAGUUCGCGCGCCUCAAGGGCAUCCGUCCCAAGAAGAAGACCAACCUGGUGUGGGACGAGGUGAGCGGCCAGUGGCGGCGGCGCUGGGGCUACCAGCGCGCCCGGGACGACACCAAGGAGUGGCUGAUUGAGGUGCCCGGCAAUGCCGACCCCUUGGAGGACCAGUUCGCCAAGCGUAUUCAGGCCAAGAAAGAACGAGUGGCCAAGAACGAGCUGAACCGGCUGCGUAACCUGGCCCGCGCGCACAAGAUGCAGCUGCCCAGCGCAGCCGGCUUGCACCCUACCGGACACCAGAGUAAGGAGGAGCUGGGCCGCGCUAUGCAGGUGGCCAAGGUCUCCACCGCCUCUGUGGGGCGCUUCCAGGAGCGCCUCCCCAAGGAGAAGGCGCCCCGGGGCUCUGGCAAGAAGAGGAAGUUUCAACCCCUUUUCGGGGACUUUGCAGCCGAGAAAAAGAACCAGUUGGAGCUGCUUCGUGUCAUGAACAGCAAGAAGCCUCAGCUGGAUGUGACAAGAGCCACCAAUAAGCAGAUGAGGGAGGAGGACCAGGAGGAGGCCGCCAAGAGGAGGAAAAUGAGCCAGAAGGGCAAGAGAAAGGGAGGCCGGCAGGGACCUGGGGGCAAGAGGAAAGGGGGGCCGCCCAGCCAGGGAGGGAAGAGGAAAGGGGGCUUGGGAGGCAAGAUGAAUUCCGGGCCGCGUGGCUUGGGUGACAAGAGAAAAGGAGGACAGCGCCCAGGAGGAAAGAGGAGGAAGUAAUAGUUUCUCACCGUCGGACCCGACUGAAAACCAAGGACUAUAAAUACUAAGUGUUAAGUUCUAGGUACUUGUACGGGGACUCAGAAGGACCUGGCCGCUGCCUUCAUUGAGUUUAAAGGGACAGGAUUGCCCUUCCCUCAAGAGAGUAUCCCCUGGACUUUCACCUUCUGGGAAAACAACAGAUUAUGCCUUUGAGAUGGCUGUUUCCAAUAUUAGAUAUGGGGCAGGAGUUACAAACGAAGUGGGAAUGGACCUACAAAACAUGGGUGCUAAAAAUGUGUGCUUGAUGACAGACAAGAACCUUUCCCAGCUCCCUCCUGUGCAAGUAGCUAUGGAUUCCCUAGUGAAGAAUGGCAUCCCCUUUACGGUUUAUGAUAAUGUGAGAGUGGAACCAACGGAUGCAAGCUUCAUGGAAGCUAUUGAGUUUGCCCAAAAGGGAGCUUUUGAUGCCUAUGUUGCUGUCGGUGGCGGCUCUACCAUGGACACCUGUAAGGCUGCUAAUCUGUAUGCAU